ACAAAAUCUGAGUAAUUCUCCCACCUCUGCUUACACACCAACAUUAGCAUUACUUUGAAGCCCACUUUUCACACUCCUUUAGGCGCUGUGUGUACUCUGUAAUCCAGGAAAUAAAAGAAUAUAAAAGUAUUAACUAGUUUAGCAUUAAAGACACUUGUAUCAGAACAGACACAUUAUCAGAUAUCACAUGAAGCAGGAAAUGAGGCUGCACCAGAGAACAAGGUCCAAUGACUUCUAUUUAUAGACAAACAUUAGUCACUUUGGUGAAAAGAUAGAUGGUUUGACUUUUUACCCCUUUGGCCUCCUUUUAUUUGGAAUGACCAACCACUUUGGUAAAUAUAAGGAUGCCACAUGCUGUUUACUGGCAGAAUAUAACAGGGUUUCUUAUUUUUGAAGCUUAGAUAUUUACCAAAGAUCCCAACAGCAGUCCAAGUUUCUUUAAAAAAAUCUGCCCUUGAUGUUAUUUAUUUAUUUGCUGGUCAUCGCAGAGGGAAUAAACAGUUCGGCAUGAGUGUACUGAGGGUUUCUUCAGUGUGCAAACUUUGAAAGAGCAGGUGAGUGGAGCUGUUUCCUCUCAGCAUGGAUCAUCCUGUCACAUACCUGAGAGCUACUUCCUCUUCAGAAAAACAUCAAUAUUUACAAGAACGCAUAAAAGCCUCUAAAUCUAAAAAAGCCCUUACCCACGACCAUAUUUUUCUGUUCUAGUGCCAGUAGUCAUCCCAUCAGCUCUACCACAGCUUUUUGAUGACUUUUUUCUCAAAGUGUUCCUUUUCUGAGGGAGUACUUUGGGGGAAAGACAGUUUGACAGCAAACACUUUGCAUUCCUCCUGCUGGACUGAAGCUUGACUCCAAAGUAAAGUUUACAUUCCUGCUGCCGGGAGGAAUGCUGCCCUCUGGGGAUUCAGACCGGACUUCAGGGUUACAAGUCCGGAAUCACGGAUGGAGGCUGGGAUGCUCAGUUACAGGGACAGCUCCGAAUGGUUGCUGCUGCCAAGGGGCUUGAAACUGAGCAGCCACUUCUAAGAAACUUCGCACCUGGACAAACUUUCCUCAUUCCUCUGCUAAGACAUUUCUGUUUGGAAGGAAAAUCCUGCUCAGCUCUUUGCAGCAGCCUGCUACUUUGUGUGUGCAACCAGAUGAAAAUACUCCCUGUCCUACUGACGCCCAGUUCAACCUGUUCUCGGCCUGAGGGUCAUGUAUUUACAACACUGUGUCCAAAUCCUUCACAUCUACCACUCUGCCAAGGAAGAAGCUUUUCCUACCGCGUCACAGCUGUCUGUUACUUCCACAUCCCAAUACAACUGCAACACUGUCUGUUCUGACAAAUAAAAGCUAAUUCCUGUCUGCUCACUCAUCCCAUCGUGGCAUCCUUAAACUGACUUUCCUCAGUCUUUGGGGAACCACAAAGAUGACAAAAUGUGUUUUCUUUUACCCUAGAUUUCAUGAGGUGUGCCACGGGGAUCUAUUGUUGGUCCUGUUUUAUCAUUUUUAAUGUCAGAUUAAUAAAAAUGUGGUUUAUGAAAUGGAAAAUGUAGGUUUUUACUACCUUUGGCUUGAACAAUGAACAAGGCAUUUACGCUGAGCUGUACAGUAUAUGCAAAACGCUGAGUGCUGUUCUAAGGAAACAGGAAGGGGCUCUUGCAUCACAGGGGGAUAAUCAGCGACUGUCUUAAAUGCAAACAGCAAUUGCAAAUAAUGUGCUUUCAAACAUCAUUUUGUCAGAAAAACUGUUGUGCAACUAAGUCAACCAUUACAAUGUUUAUGCUUUCUUUCUGUGUUUUGAUUAUAUUUGUCAAAAUUAUAACAGGGCCUCAAAACAGAAUUUUUUUGACCCCACGGAAAGUCAGAAAUGUUGUUUUCCAGAAUCACCAAAAAUAAAGGUUUAACUGUCCUCUACUGAUGGAUACAAAUCUGUUCUAAGUUGCCAUCAAUAGCCAAAAUGGGCAGUAUGUAGGAAUUUUAAAUAUAAAAUGAAUGAUGUGCUGUAUUUUUAAAAUUUAGAAUAAUGUAGUCUUG